CUUUCAGUUUCAAUCGAAUGCUUGACAAACAAAGAAUGUAUAUCAUCGAUGUUGUCUCCCUAUACACUGUUGAUUGUUUAUUUUGAUGUUCUUUUAAAUAAUGAAAAGUUUAACGAGGCUGAAUUCAUCAGCUGUCAAUUGUUCUUAGCCUGAAGAAGAUGAUAAAAUUCAUCGAAACGUCGCUUUAGAACAAAGAGUUUUAUUGGUUCCUUUACCCAGAAUUGUACAGCAAGUUUAUCUGGUAUAUAUUCGAUUCGACGCGACGGCUGCACAAACGAUCCCGCAACCUUGCUGCACCGACGAAUCUGGAAGCGGCCUUAGAAGAGUCAGAUUAUAAAUAGAUCGAUCGCCAACAAUUCAUGUUGUUGCAUAAGAAAGAUAGAGGUGGACUUAUAAAUCCAUCCAAAGAUGUCAUUCAGCUUUGUAUGUACACAAAAAAAAUACUUUUGAACAUAACGAAUAUCCUAGUGUCGACCGAAAAGAAUUUUUUGGACACCUUUAUUAUGCAGGCUUCAUUGUUCUUGGUUCAGCAAAAAAAUAUAUUCGAAUGUUCAUCAUGUAUUCGAAACUUCCCCAUAUGAAUUGAACCACACAAUGAAUGAUUAGAUUAAUUGUAAGAAUUUUCAAAAAUAAAAUUUUUAAAAAUUGCAAAAUAACAGACUGAUCUUAUUACAGGAGAAUUAAAAUGAAAAAAAUUGAGUGAACUGA